GGACGUUCAAAAGAAGCAGUGGGUGUGUUGAAGCAGCUUUUGGUUUUGGUGUAGAUGUCUUGUGGUGUAAUGCUGUUUGCGUUCACUUUUGUAAGCCUUUGUCAGCAUAGCAAAAAUGGUUAGAUACACAUUAAAAAAAGAAAAGAAAAGGGAACAUUAGAGCAAACUGUAUUACACUCACUUAUCUAAAAGUGAAAAUAUUUAUUUUUUAUAUUCAUCAUGUAAAACUUGGGAGUGUUUUUUUUUGUUGUUGUUUUGUUUUUUUUGCAGUCAGGUUAUCUAAUAGACUAGGUUUCAGGCGCGGCUCGUCUAUAUGGGCAAAAUAUUCAACACCAACAUAGACCUAGCUCUUUAUAAACUGAAACAAUAAUAAAUUGUAAAUGUGUUCUGCAUUCUGCAACAAAUAUUUUUCAGAUUUUCGAUACUAUUUUAAGUCGUAAAGUAUGUAGUAUAUAUUAAAAUCCCGCGGAUGGCUUUAGCAGGCAUGUAUACAUGAUACUAAGUGGGGCAGAUGGUGCCUGAGCCCUCCAGAGGUCAACAGCGCCCCACAAUUUUGCAACAUAAAUCUGUGGUGAAAAGGGGAACUGCGGCGUGCUCUAAUUGAGAGCCAUUGGGGCAGAUUUGAGACUGCCCCGCUUAUUUUCACGUUAACGUUACCUUACGUAAACCUCGCUCCACCAAGACAGUAUCAUUCCGCUUCAGCUAUGUGUCUGCAUCAGGUCAGUAUCUAGUAGGCAUGUCUGGUUUUUUUCUAUGUGGAGUAGUGGAUCAAAUUAAAGUAGGCUAUACGUUAAAUCCUUAGUUUAAAUGUGCUCACAUUAAUAGCCUUUAUAUGGUUCUGUUGUGUUUGUUUUGUUUGGUUUAUUCUGAGAAUAGACAUAUAAUCUUCUUUCCUCACCCGAAUUGCUCCACAACUUGUACCAUUCUAAAUCAACAUUUGGAGGUGAUAAAUACUAUAUUAAGGCAAUUAUUAUGCAUUUUAUGUCUGUAACAUUACUUCGAGCCUGUCAAUCAACAUUAGCGCCACCCACAGGACAACGCAAGGACAUCUCUGCCAAAAUUUUGUGAGAUUAAAAUAUAAAGUUAACAAAAUAAUCUGCCCCACCUAAAUUUACGACCAGGAGCCGCUACUGCUAGGUUUAUAUUUAUUAAUCUUUAUUUUGUAUUUUAUUUGGUAUGCAUUUCUUUAGAUUAAUUUCUUUAAUUACUCAUGCACAUUUUUUAAUUCAUGACAGAUCUCCUGCUGUGUUGUGAGUUUGGGAGUCAAGGCUGGAAAGAUAAGUAUGGAUUAUCAGAACUGGCAAAUAGCAGUGGUGAAAAUCCACUGCAGAGGCCACUUGUGACCUGAUUAGAAUGACGUCAGGGCUGAAAAGGGUUGCUUGGGCAGAUGGCUAAUCUGAGAUAUCUUACCUUUCUGCAAGGCCAGGAGAAGAGGAAUCUGCAAGCUCAGCAGUGCUUUUUAGUAUCUCAUAAACAUCACUAAUCCAUCCCUGACAAGAGGAGUGCAUUCCAACUUUCCGUCAGCACAUGAGAAUGGAGAUAAGAGCCUGGAUUAGCCAAGGGCUAAUAAGCAGAUAACACACAUCGAUCACCAGAUCUACCUGACACGGAGACAGGUAGAGAACAUGCAGUGCCAAAAUGGAAGGUGACCAACUUAUUAUAUUGGGCAUCUUCAGAAUGUCUUGGUAAGUGUGGCGUAAACAGACCAAAAACAGUGCUAAAAUGUAACAUGUAACCAUAAAUUCUGCUAGUAUCAGUACUGCAAAACACAUCACAAUAAAACUAUUAUGAUGUUAGGUAAAUAAAUAAAUAGUAACACUUUAGAAUAGGGAACAUAUUCACUAUUAAUUCAGAGUUUACCUUCAAUAAACUAAUUUGCUGCUUAUUAAUAUUUAGUAAGGUAGUUUUUAAGUUUAGGUAUGGAGUUGGAUUAAGGGAUCUAAAUUAUGGUCAUGCAGAAUAAGGCAUUAAUAUGUGCUUUAUAAGUGCUAACAAACAGUCAGUAAGCUAGUAAUAUGCAUGCUAAUAAGGAGUUAGUUAAUAGUGAGAAUUGCCUAAUAAAUAAAUAAAAGACAGAACAUGACUGGGAUCACCAUGAAUCAGCAAGCUCUGGGUCAACCCUAUUUUAAAAGUAGAUAACAUGUUAAAAGCAAUUUAGGCAGUUUGUGGGUAAUCGCCUUGCACGCAAAUGUGUCAGGGGGCACUAUAAGAUAAUGAUACACGGGGCAACAUUUUGAGCAAUUUUGCCAGACAAAUUUUUUGAGAAACGUUGCUUUGGCACUUUCCCAUUGGGAAUGGGUAACAAAUUUCUAUCUGGAUAUUUUAGAUCAGUCGUGGGCCCUGCGUCUCACCUGGUUGCCCAUUGACAGCAACAUUGCCCAUAGUUGCCCGUCAACAUUGCUCAAAAACGUGCCCCGUGUAUACUCAGCCUAACACUUCAACACCUAAUUUAUAACAGCCCCUUUUAUAAGUCUUUAUGAAUCUGUAAAAUUGAACAGUAGUGACUGAGCCUCCUGCACUGCAAACUACAUUGUUAUCACCACUGCUGGUGGCAGCAGAAGAUACAGAGUUGUUGUUUUUUUUGUUUUUGUUUUUCAGAAUUGAACUGACUUGUUCUUUAUUUUCCACAGAAAUGUUUGAGAAUAUGCUGCCUGGCUUGUGUAAUUUCUGGACUUCCAAUAAAUCUCUUGCUUUCAUUUUCUCCAUCCUGAGAAAUAUGGAAUAGUGCAGUUGAAAUGGCAAAUCAAGCAGUGACAGCAGCACUAUUUACGAACUGCCAUUCAAAUCGUAAAAAAUAAAGAAACCAUUUAAAAAAUAUGCACUUUCCAUUCUACAUUUGUUUUAAUCUAAAACUUUCAUGUUGGAAAAAAUGCUUAUUCAUGUUAUUUAGCAACCACAAAAAGUUUCCACUUAUUUGCAGUUCUUUGUUUUUGUUUUUCCUACCACCAGGAAUUUAAUCUAUGGAAGCUGAUUAUCUUGACUUGGAAAAAUAUUGGAUUGCAAUUCCAAUUUAAAUGUACAAGGGACGAAAUAUUUAAUGUGAUCAUAUUAGAAUUGAAAUUGUGGCAUUAGGUGUUACUGCUGGUGUGUAUUUCAGUACGCCUUUGCUAUAUACUCUGGAUUGAACAGGUUUGUUUGAGUUUAACAGAUUUGUGGAGGGGGGCUGAUGUUUCAGGAGGUUGAAUAAGGACAAUAAAAGUGGCUUUUGGUUACAUUUGAUGUUGUACAAAUCUGGUAAAUGUCUACCAGAUAAUGACAAAAAAAAAAAAAAAAAAAAAUUAAAAGGCAGCGAAAAGGCAGAAAUAGAGGAAAGCUGACAGAGACAGGGCACUGGGGGAACCUUUUACCCUCCAGACACUGUUAUUUAUUUCACCCAGUAAUCCCAAACAGCUUCUUGGGUAAAUUAAUUAAGCUUCUGUACUUGGCAGGUUUCAUUGGGGGCACAUUCCUCUUUCCUCUUCUUUUUCCCCCUCACUUUCUCUCUUUCUCAUUUUGCCAAUUCUCUUUUCUUCCCCAUCAAUAAAUAACUGACUACCUUACAGUAAGUAAAAUAAACAGCCUAAUCCCUUCUGCCUAAUGGCACACAAGUAUAUAAUGUUUUGCAGAUAAUAGAAGCAAAUUAAGAAACAUUUGGCAAAAAUGUAAGAAAUUUAAAGAUACAUUAAAUUUAAAACUAAGAAUAUGAGGCAACUUUUUCACUUCCUUUUUUAGUUUAUAUUAUAUUACACUACAUAUGCUUGUGAUUUGAGAGCAUACUUAUUCACAUUCAUAUGCAUAUACUGAAAGUGAAGGGUUACAAUACAUGUUUAGCAGGCUGGCAACUGCUAUAGACAUUAUGUGUCGACUCAUCAAGACAUUUACAAUAAUGCACUUACAAGGGAAGUCUACAGGGUAUGUCAGAGUGUAGAAGCAGAAAUAUUUUUAUUAAAGCAUUUACAAUACUGUAGAUGGUUACAACACAUCCAUGGUGUCCUUACAUGUAUUUGUAUACCUCUUUUGUUUGUUUUAACCAAGUGAAAGACAAGUCAAAAUGCCAAUUAUGUUUUU